UACGUAGGUGGCAAGCGUUGUCCGGAAUUAUUGGGCGUAAAGAGCGUGUAGGCGGCCUGAAAGGUCAGCUGUGAAAACUCGAGGCUCAACCUCGAGACGUCGGUUGAAACCAUCUGGCUAGAGUCCGGAAGAGGAAUGUGGAAUUCCCGGUGUAGCGGUGAAAUGCGCAGAUAUCGGGAAGAACACCCGUGGCGAAGGCGGCACUCUGGGACGGUACUGACGCUGAGACGCGAAAGCGUGGGGAGCGAACAGG
rnacentral:rRNA from 1 species